GCGACACUAGCGCAGUUGGUAGAGCGCAACCUUGCGAAGGUUGAGGUCACGAGUUCGAACCUCGUGUGUCGCUCCA
rnacentral:tRNA from 1 species